CCGGAGUGGACGCAUCACUGGUGUUCGGGUUGUCAUGCCAAUGGCACUGCCCGGUAGCUAAAUGCGGAAGAGAUAAGUGCUGAAAGCAUCUAAGCACGAAACUUGCCCCGAGAUGAGUUCUCCCUGAGACUUAGAGUCUCCUGAAGGAACGUUGAAGACGACGACGUUGAUAGGCCGGGUGUGUAAGCGCAGCGAUGCGUUGAGCUAACCGGUACUAAUGAACCGUGAGGCUUAACCUU
rnacentral:rRNA from 1 species